rnacentral:rRNA from 1 species
ACGCUGGCGGCGUGCUUAACACAUGCAAGUCGAACGGAAAGGCCCUGCUUUUGUGGGGUGCUCGAGUGGCGAACGGGUGAGUAACACGUGAGUAACCUGCCCUUGACUUUGGGAUAACUUCAGGGAACUGGGGCUAAUACCGGAUAGGAGCUCCUGCUGCAUGGUGGGGGUUGGAAAGUUUCGGCGGUUGGGGAUGGACUCGCGGCUUAUCAGCUUGUUGGUGGGGUAGUGGCUUACCAAGGCUUUGACGGGUAGCCGGCCUGAGAGGGUGACCGGCCACAUUGGGACUGAGAUACGGCCCAGACUCCUACGGGAGGCAGCAGUGGGGAAUAUUGCACAAUGGGCGGAAGCCUGAUGCAGCAACGCCGCGUGCGGGAUGACGGCCUUCGGGUUGUAAACCGCUUUCGCCUGUGACGAAGCGUGAGUGACGGUAAUGGGUAAAGAAGCACCGGCUAACUACGUGCCAGCAGCCGCGGUGAUACGUAGGGUGCGAGCGUUGUCCGGAUUUAUUGGGCGUAAAGGGCUCGUAGGUGGUUGAUCGCGUCGGAAGUGUAAUCUUGGGGCUUAACCCUGAGCGUGCUUUCGAUACGGGUUGACUUGAGGAAGGUAGGGGAGAAUGGAAUUCCUGGUGGAGCGGUGGAAUGCGCAGAUAUCAGGAGGAACACCAGUGGCGAAGGCGGUUCUCUGGGCCUUUCCUGACGCUGAGGAGCGAAAGCGUGGGGAGCGAACAGGCUUAGAUACCCUGGUAGUCCACGCUGUAAACGGUGGGUACUAGGUGUGGGGUCCAUUCCACGGGUUCCGUGCCGUAGCUAACGCUUUAAGUACCCCGCCUGGGGAGUACGGCCGCAAGGCUAAAACUCAAAGGAAUUGACGGGGCCCCGCACAAGCGGCGGAGCAUGCGGAUUAAUUCGAUGCAACGCGUAGAACCUUACCUGGGUUUGACAUGGAUCGGGAGUGCUCAGAGAUGGGUGUGCCUCUUUUGGGGUCGGUUCACAGGUGGUGCAUGGCUGUCGUCAGCUCGUGUCGUGAGAUGUUGGGUUAAGUCCCGCAACGAGCGCAACCCUUGUUCACUGUUGCCAGCACGUUAUGGUGGGGACUCAGUGGAGACCGCCGGGGUCAACUCGGAGGAAGGUGGGGAUGACGUCAAGUCAUCAUGCCCCUUAUGUCCAGGGCUUCACGCAUGCUACAAUGGCUGGUACAGAGAGUGGCGAGCCUGUGAGGGUGAGCGAAUCUCGGAAAGCCGGUCUCAGUUCGGAUUGGGGUCUGCAACUCGACCUCAUGAAGUCGGAGUCGCUAGUAAUCGCAGAUCAGCAACGCUGCGGUGAAUACGUUCCCGGGGCUUGUACACACCGCCCGUCAAGUCAUGAAAGUUGGUAACACCCGAAGCCGGUGGCCUAACCGUUGUGGGGGAGCCGUCGAAGGUGGGACUGGUGAUUAGG